rnacentral:rRNA from 1 species
UACGGAGGGUGCUAGCGUUGUUCGGAAUUACUGGGCGUAAAGCGCGCGUAGGCGGCUUUGUAAGUUAGAGGUGAAAGCCCGGGGCUCAACCCCGGAACUGCCUUUAAGACUGCAUCGCUUGAAUCCGGGAGAGGUGAGUGGAAUUCCGAGUGUAGAGGUGAAAUUCGUAGAUAUUCGGAAGAACACCAGUGGCGAAGGCGGCUCACUGGACCGGUAUUGACGCUGAGGUGCGAAAGCGUGGGGAGCAAACAGG